GAAGGAAAUGGCAACCCACUCCAGUAUUCUUGCCUGGGAAAUCCCAUGGACAGAGGAGCCUUGUGGGCUAUCUUCCAUGGGGUCACAAGAAUGAGACAUGACUUUGUGACUAAACCCCCACCACUAUAUAUAGUAUCAUGUAAUGCUGAAGCUGAAACUCCAGUACUUUGGCCACCUCAUGCAAAGAGUUGACUCAUUGGAAAAGACUCUGAUGCUGGGAGGGAUUGGGGGCAGGAGGACAAGAGGAUGACAGAGGAUGAGAUGGCUGGAUGGCAUCACUGGCUCGAUGGACAUGUGUUUGAGUAAACUCUGGGAGUUCGUGAUGGACAGGGAGGCCUGGCGUGCUGCAAUUCAUGGGGUCACAAGGAGUUGGACAUGACUGAGCGACUGAACUGAAUUGAAUCUAUGUUGAGCCAUCUUCGGAACAAAUCUCACUUCAUUACAAUGAAGAAGACCCAAGAGCUGUCCAGCUGCUGCCCCCUGCACAG